rnacentral:rRNA from 1 species
CACAGAGGAGCUUGCUCCUCGGGUGACGAGUGGCGGACGGGUGAGUAAUGUCUGGGAAACUGCCCGAUGGAGGGGGAUAACUACUGGAAACGGUAGCUAAUACCGCAUAACGUCGCAAGACCAAAGUGGGGGACCUUCGGGCCUCACACCAUCGGAUGUGCCCAGAUGGGAUUAGCUUGUAGGCGGGGUAACGGCCCACCUAGGCGACGAUCCCUAGCUGGUCUGAGAGGAUGACCAGCCACACUGGAACUGAGACACGGUCCAGACUCCUACGGGAGGCAGCAGUGGGGAAUAUUGCACAAUGGGCGCAAGCCUGAUGCAGCCAUGCCGCGUGUAUGAAGAAGGCCUUCGGGUUGUAAAGUACUUUCAGCGGGGAGGAAGGUGUUGAGGUUAAUAACCUCAGCAAUUGACGUUACCCGCAGAAGAAGCACCGGCUAACUCCGUGCCAGCAGCCGCGGUAAUACGGAGGGUGCAAGCGUUAAUCGGAAUUACUGGGCGUARAGCGCACGCAGGCGGUCUGUUAAGUCAGAUGUGAAAUCCCCGGGCUUAACCUGGGAACUGCAUUUGAAACUGGCAGGCUUGAGUCUCGUAGAGGGGGGUAGAAUUCCNGGUGUAGCGGUGAAAUGC